rnacentral:rRNA from 1 species
UGGGGAAUAUUGCACAAUGGGCGCAAGCCUGAUGCAGCCAUGCCGCGUGUGUGAAGAAGGCCUUCGGGUUGUAAAGCACUUUCAGCGGGGAGGAAGGCGGUGAGGUUAAUAACCUCACCGAUUGACGUUACCCGCAGAAGAAGCACCGGCUAACUCCGUGCCAGCAGCCGCGGUAAUACGGAGGGUGCAAGCGUUAAUCGGAAUUACUGGGCGUAAAGCGCACGCAGGCGGUCUGUCAAGUCGGAUGUGAAAUCCCCGGGCUCAACCUGGGAGCUGCAUUCGAAACUGGCAGGCUAGAGUCUUGUAGAGGGGGGUAGAAUUCCAGGUGUAGCGGUGAAAUGCGUAGAGAUCUGGAGGAAUACCGGUGGCGAAGGCGGCCCCCUGGACAAAGACUGACGCUCAGGUGCGAAAGCGUGGGGAGCAAACAGG